GAUGAACGCUAGCGGCAGGCUUAAUACAUGCAAGUCGAGGGGCAGCAGGUCUGUAGCAAUAUAGAUGCUGGCGACCGGCAAACGGGUGCGGAACACGUACACAACCCUCCUUCGAGCGGGGAAUAGCCCGGGGAAACCCGGAUUAAUACCCCAUAGUAUGGUGAAGAGGCAUCUCUUUACUCUUAAAGAUUUAUCACUUGAAGAUGGGUGUGCGGCUGAUUAGCUAGUUGGCGGGGUAACGGCCCACCAAGGCAACGAUCAGUAACUGGUGUGAGAGGACGACCAGGCCCACGGGCACUGAGACACGGGCCCGACUCCUACGGGAGGCAGCAGUAAGGAAUAUUGGUCAAUGGACCGAAGUCUGAACCAGCCAUGCCGCGUGGAGGAUGAAGGUCCUCUGGAUUGUAAACUUCUUUUAUCUGGGACGAAAGAAGGGAAUUCUUUCCGACUGACGGUACCAGAUGAAUAAGCACCGGCUAACUCCGUGCCAGCCGCCGCCGUAACAC
rnacentral:rRNA from 1 species